rfam:Phaethon lepturus contig124817, whole genome shotgun sequence.
CCCAAGGCUCUUUUAAGAGCCACCCACAAAAAUCAUAAGAGAGCU